GGGGAAUAUUGCGCAAUGGGCGAAAGCCUGACGCAGCGACGCCGCGUGAGGGACGAAGGCCUUCGGGUCGUGAACCUCUUUCAGUAGGGACGAAGCGAAAGUGACUGUACCUACAGAAGAAGCACCGGCUAACUACGUGCCAGCAGCCGCGGUAAUACGUAGGGUGCAAGCGUUGUCCGGAAUUAUUGGGCGUAAAGAGCUCGUAGGUGGUUCGUUACGUCUGCUGUGAAAACUCGGGGCUCAACCCCGAGCCUGCAGUGGAUACGGGCGGACUAGAGUGCGGUAGGGGAGACUGGAAUUCCUGGUGUAGCGGUGAAAUGCGCAGAUAUCAGGAGGAACACCGGUGGCGAAGGCGGGUCUCUGGGCCGAUACUGACGCUGAGGAGCGAAAGCGUGGGGAGCGAA
rnacentral:rRNA from 1 species